CUGUUGAGAUGUCGUGGCCUGCACAUCUUGCUCAAGUUUCUCUGUUUAGGAAGGCAAUCAAGGAUUUAUCAGCUGGCUUGGGCAUUGAGAAUGAUGACAUUGAGUGCUUGUAUUUACAAGCUUCCUGUUACCAUGCUAUUGGCGAAUAUAGAGAGGUCAAGGACUAUGAUGCUGCUUAGACUCAAUGGAAAAGUUUGUGCUUCAAUGCUUGGCCUUUUAUCAGGUUUGCUUUGAAAUGAAUAGUACGCUUUAAAUGCUCCAAAUGCCUUGGACAUAUUGAAAGGCAAUAUAAUUGUAUGGAGUUCAAUUGAUGAUAGAUGAAAAAUUGUAUUUAUCAAAAUAAAUAAAUAAAGGAAAAGUUAUAGAAAGGUUAUGUGUAAAUUCAUGAUGAAAGCCCUGGUUGAUCUUUGGUUUUGCAAUUUAUUUUUCAUUUUAUUGGGAACAAGUUGUAGGAGAUUGGAUUAGUGGAAUUUACCAGUGAAUUUCUAUUGCUU